AGCUCUUUCUGUUGUGCCUG
rnacentral:sRNA from 1 species